AUACGGAGGGUGCAAGCGUUACUCGGAAUCACUGGGCGUAAAGCGCGCGCAGGCGGUCUUUUAAGUUGGAUGUGAAAGCCUACGGCUCAACCGUAGAACUGCAUCCAAAACUAUUAGACUAGAGUGUGGGAGAGGAAGAUGGAAUUAGUUGUGUAGGGGUAAAAUCCGUAGAGAUAACUAGGAAUACCAAAAGCGAAGGCAAUCUUCUGGAACACUACUGACGCUGAGGCGCGAAAGCGUGGGGAGCAAACAGGAGUAGAUACCCUAGUAGUCC
rnacentral:rRNA from 1 species